AUUUUCUCAUUUGCAAUGAUCUACAUGUAUUCACAUACCGGAGUCUACAUUCGUUCAUUCAUUCAUUCAUUCAUUUAUUGGUUCCGGGGAUUGAACUCGGGACAUUGCAUUUUCAAGGCAGGCGGUGGAACCCCUGAGCUAGAUCCCUAGCUUUUGCGUCAAAUCCAGCCGCAUCAUCUUCUGGAGCAUCAUCAUAACUCUCCAACCCCCGAGCUCCGGCCUGCGUGUCUUGGGCUGCGUCUCCUGUAGAACCUCUGGCCCCAUCUCUCGUGUCCAGCGGUGGAGCUCUCCUUAGAUGGGCACUUCCUGCCCAUGUGGCCUGCGUGGGUGCAGUGGCAGCACGGCCGGCAGGGAUUUCACCCCAUGAGCUCUUCAACCAAGUCACCACCUCGUGCAGGCCGGCGAAACAGACUUUGCAUGCGAUCAAGUGUUAUCGGAAGACGUAUGCGACAGGAGUGGCAGCAACGAUGAUCUGCUCAAAAACGACGAAAAAUCCCAGGCAUAAAAUUAAGGAAAUAUUUCUUUUGUUUCACACGAGUGCCUGAGUACACCUGGUACAACACCCACUGCCGGAUCCUGAAGACGCAUGGGCACUGCCGGGAGCAGCCUCUGUGCCCAGGGUGGCGCCACUCAUGCGUGGCCACUCGGCAGCAAAGCUGGAGCUCAGCUGUUCACGUCCGGAGGCACCACCUGGGUCAACUUCGUGGUGUGCCAGCUCCUGGCCUUGUUGGCGGCUGUUUGGUUUCGAGCUUAUCUGCACUCGAGCAAGACCAGUUCUUUCAUAAGACAUGUGGUCGCUACCCUUCUGGGCCUUUAUCUUGCAUUUUUUUGCUUUGGAUGGUAUGCCUUACACUUUCUGGUACAAAGUGGGAUUUCCUACUGCAUCAUGAUCACCACAGGGGUGGAAAGCACGCACAGGUACUGUUUUGUGUUCGCACUGGGAUACCUCACAGCGUGCCAGAUCACCAGGGUCUACAUCUUUGAUUAUGGACAGUAUUCUGCGGAUUUUUCAGGCCCAAUGAUGAUCAUUACUCAGAAGAUCACGAGUUUGGCCUAUGAAAUCCAUGAUGGGAUGUUUCGCAAGGAGGAGGACCUGACGCCGUCCCAGCGAGGGCUCGCCGUGAGGCGCAUGCCCAGCCUCCUGGAGUACGUGAGCUACACCUGUAACUUCAUGGGCAUCCUGGCUGGCCCGCUGUGCUCCUACAAGGACUACAUCACAUUCAUCGAGGGCCGGGCGUACCACAGGGCACAGUCGGGUCCCAACCAGAAGGAAGCGGUGCUAUGGGAGCGAGCAGACCCUUCCCCAAAGGCGGCCGUGAUGCACAAGCUGCUGGUGUGCGUGCUGUCCCUGCUGGUGCACCUGACCAUCUGCAGCGCGCUGCCCGUGGACUACAAUAUCGACGAGAAGUUCCUGGCCACGGCCUCCUGGCCGACCAGGGUGGCCUACCUGUACGUGUCCCUGCUGGCCGCCCGGCCCAAGUACUACUUCGCCUGGACCUUAGCGGAUGCCAUCAAUAACGCGGCGGGCUUUGGCUUCCGGGGCUACGACGGGAAUGGCGAGGCUCGCUGGGACCUGGUGUCCAACCUGAGGAUCCCACAGAUCGAGAUGUCGACUAGUUUCAAGAUGUUCCUGGAUAACUGGAACAUCCAGACAGCACUGUGGCUCAAAAGGGUGUGUUACGAGAGGGCCUCCUUCAGCCCCACCGUCCAGACCUUCUUCCUGUCUGCUGUCUGGCAUGGCGUGUACCCCGGCUACUACCUGACCUUCCUCACGGGUGUGCUCAUGACCCUGGCAGCCCGGGCUAUGAGAAACAACUUCCGAUCUUACUUCACGGAGCCGACCCAGCUCAAGUUGUGCUACGACAUCAUCACGUGGACGGUGACGCAGGUAGCGGUCAGCUAUACGGUUGUGCCUUUUGUGCUCCUGUCUGUGAAGCCGUCCUUCACCUUCUACAGCUCCUGGUAUUACUGCCUUCACAUUUGUGGAAUCUUAGUUUUAUUAUUGCUGCCAGUGAAAAAAACCCGAAAAGGAGAGACAGCACAUGCAGUCUUCCAGCCAUCACCUUGCAAAAAGUCUGAGGACAGAGAUGGUUCCCCAGGGCGGAACAGCUUCCCCACGACAAACAGCAUUGCCAGCCAGGUCCCAGGUGGAGGCUGCAGACUCUGGUCACCGCAGCAGUGAGGAGGCGGCCUGGUGUCAGACUAGCCUCCGUGGCGUCCUCAGAGCCCGGAACUCGAAGGGAGGUGCGGAGGGUGUAAGCUGUGCCUCCUGCCUGCCGGCCAUGCCUUCCUCAGUGUCGCCUGCAGGGCCCUGUGAGCAGCUGCUGAAUGUACCUGCACACCCCAAGCGCCACGCCACAGAGGCAGGACUGUGCCAAGGCAGUGACUGCGACGGGUUAGCUCUUCCAGACGAGUGUCUUGCCUUAAACCCUUAUUUCCGACAAUAUCAUUCCUCGGUGGUCUUUUCAAGUGGAACGGUGUGAGAAGGCUGUUUCAGUAUUCCAUGUUGUGUGCUGUAAAGGGAUUUGACCCAGUUCCAUCUGCAGAGAUCCUGCUGGCUUUCGUGAGUGGGAAUGGUGUCUUCAUGAAGGGUUCUUCCAUAAGGAUCACCGUGAGCCCGGGCUGCAUGGGGUGCUUCCUGAGCACUGGGAUUGCGGGCAUGUGCCACCACACCCGGCUGCCCACAUCAGCUUGACCUUAAAAGGAGAUGCUCAUAUUUGAAGUUGCUGAUUUGGACAGUUUGAGAACCAUGAUUCCUGAGGUCAGCUGGGAGGACGGGUGUUUUAAAAACCACAUUCAUUGUCUUGCUCUCACCGAGGGUCAGGCUUUGACUUCAGAAACAUUCCUGAGAAAGGCCAGGCAUGGCAGUGAACAUGUCUCAUCCGGCACUCUAGGAGGCUGAGGCAGGAGGACUGCAAGUAGGACCUUAUUCUGGGCAACUCAGCGAGACCCUGUUUCAAAAUUUAAAAAAGCCCUUGAAUAUAAAGAUCUGGGGAUGGAGCUCAGUGCAAAGACCCAGGUUUAGUACCAGUACAAAAAAAAAAAAGUUCACAGAUGAUUAAGAUAUGUUUUCACCAAUGUGUCGAUGAGGAAACUCAUAAGAAAAGCCAGAUUCUGGCUUUAUCAGAACCUGCUAAGAGGCUGGGUAUGAUGGCGCACGCCUGUAAUCCCAGCACUCUGGAGGCUGAGGCAGUAAGAUCGCCAUGAAUUCCGGGCCUGUCUGGACUACAUAGUGAGUUCACAGCCAGUCUGGACCACACGGUGAGACCCUGUCUCAAAAAACCCCAAAAGAGGUGGUCCAGGGGAAGGCAGGAUUAGGGGGAGCCCCCCCCGACCCGUGGUCACGCUGCCAAGGCUGCGGGUGGGGAGGUGGGGGUGUCUAUGAGGUUGUUCUUCCAGGUACCUGGGCCGGAAGUGCCAUGAGCGACAGUGGACCCUUCAGCUCUGCACACCCAGCCAUGAUUUCCAUGUUGACAGUAAACAAACUUUGACUGCUGGUGCUUCUGUCACCCAGAGGCUCUGAGGGCCAGGGUCACCACCACCUCCGGGUGAGGCGGGUGCACAGGGACUUAAAGACUCAGAGCUCCAGAAUGGCUUCAUCAUCAUCAUCUCAAAAGAAGAAAGAACAUCACAAAGGAAAAAUGGAAGAAGGAAGAGUCUUCAGUGAAAAAUGGAUGAAUGCUUUUUUAUUGAAGGAAAUAAGGCACCCUGCUAAAUUUCUGUAAAUCAGUUUGUUUCACCAGACUAUAGCCAGAUGAACCAAGGCAAUGGGGGAAAAUCUACUGAAAAAGAUUUGAGAGGUUCAACUUGCUGUUUUUAAUUAGCAGUGUUAUACAUUAUUAAUAUAGUAUCACUGAAGAAAUGGUUUCUUUGAUGCCAUUAAAAUAAAGCUCUAAGGUUUAGGGGCUUAGCUCAGUGGUUCCAAUGCCUGCCUCACAAGCACAAGGUCCUGAGUUUGAUCCCCGGUACC